rnacentral:lncRNA from 13 species
AGCGUCGGGAGCGGGAGCCAAAGCCGUCUGGGGCUGAAAGGCGGGACUUCCUGCUUCGCUUACCUUCCUAGUCUUUUGUUUCAUAGCAACAGAGUAGUGGCUGGAAGGGUGUUGCUUCUCUACUCUGGGCGGGUCCAAAGCUGGAGAAAUUCAUCUCCCUAGGGCUGCCAAACCCUUCUACCCAGGACAGCAGCCAAACAGGUCUAUGACGUUGCUUUUUGUUGGCUAUCAAAAAAGAGCGACAGCCACCGAGCUUCUAAAAUGCAAAAUAAACCUCACAGACAGGAGGCUAGGGGUGACACCUCACUGCCAACUAGAACUGCCUAAGUUUCUGAGUGUUUCUCCUUUGCUGUUAGUUUUAGAGGGAUUGCAGACCAAACAUCAGGCUGACGACAAAGCAAAUAGUUGACAACGCUGGCCAAAUAGUCUCUGCUAAUCAUGCCAGAGCAAUAAAAGUACCAGGUGGACUUUCCGCAAGCAUGGAAGUGAUCUUUCUCCUUGGCUCUCCAAUAAGAUUGUCACUAGCCACAUAACACAGAUGUGAUGGCUGGCAGCGUAGGAUCAAGCUUGCAACCAUGAUGAAAGACUGCAUGUUUAAGAUGGUGGGAGCAGAAAAACAGCAGCCUGGGGAUCUGACAUCACGAAUAUGCUGCACCAUUCUGGACCACUACCCUCAGCUAACUUAUGAUAUGAGAAAAAUGACAUUCAGCCUCCAGCGAGUCCUCAAACCUACAAGUUAUAUGUCCCUACCAGUCUGUGGCUUUAGCGGCUCCUCCUGCAGCUCUUCCAGUUCGUGACCAUUGAACUCAUCAACAAAGUGGGGAUAAUGGUGGAGACUCACGAUUUCUCCUCACUGAAGUUUUUGCCUGACUUCUUACAUUGUAGUGUGCCAAAUAUGGAAUUAACAGGGAAGAAUGGUGCAGCCUUGUGUGACUUCAUAUCAUAUGAGACAAAUCAGCCACCUGGGAACAAGUGAACCCAUUUCAUUAUGUAAGAAAUAGAAGUUUUUUAUGCUAGAACUGACUUAUGUUCUAAAAAUAGAUGAAGCAACUGAAUAAAUCUAUUGAAUAUAAUAAAAUA